CCCUUGUACACACCGCCCGUCAAGUCAUGAAAGUCGGUAACACCCGAAGCCAGUGGCCCAACCGCAAGGAGGGAGCUGUCGAAGGUGGGAUCGGUGAUUAGGACU
rnacentral:rRNA from 1 species